ensembl:lncRNA
UAUUAUAAUUAAAGUUCAGCAACUUGAACUUCAAUGCAAAGGUUUCUUUGUCACGGUGUAUCAAGAUGACCCAGAUGCAGGACUAGACAAAAAGGUUGAGGGAAGAUCCAGAGUUCUUUUAAUAACAAAACGGCACUCUUGGUGGGGAAAAACUCCACAAACAUAACAUGCCUCAACAACAGCAUGACUCAGGCAAGGAAGCCAGGACAACAGACUGAACUAAUGCAACACUCCGACAAAGAGAGCAGAAACGAAAACACUUAAAUAAAGCUAAAAAAAAUUAACCUAAAGUGCAGGCAGCUGUGCGCCCCUCAUGAGAGUCACAGGAGAGGGGGCGGAGCCCUUCAGAAGAACCCACAGCCAACUUGCACACAAGACACAACAGGGUGUCAAUGGCUGCUCCAUCCAUGGGUCUGUUAGGAUUCAUACUGAUACAUGCUGCCACUGCCACCACUCUUCCUUUUUUGCACGAACAAAGACAGAUCUUUGCAUAGGCCUCCUGUGGCUGCUCGCUUACUGCGUCCUGCUAAAGAACAGCGACUGGUGGUUCCUGCACCGCUCUGCAAAAGAUCACAAGCCAGCUUUUAAGCUCUGUGACACAUUGAUUGUGCUUUCUAACUCUGGACACACCACUGCCUCACUCAUAAAAGGUGGGAGAACUGAAGCUACAACUUGAGACACCACAGGCCAGCAGGAAUCAGAACUCACAAGGGCGCCUUUCACGACUUCUCAGCUGCUGUCAGACUGGUGAACGUGACAUUAAACAGGGCAAGACCCACCCCACUUCACACUCUCACUGGACGCACACUCAUGCACACAAACUGUCACUCUAUCAGGCUAUGAGUACAAUUGUAUGUUAUGUACUAUUUUUUCCACGCUGCUGUUUAUCAGAUUGUUUUUAUUAAAACGUUUGCAAUUUUUUCUGCUUGUGAUUCAUUUGCUGAAUUUUUCUGUUUUUUAAACUAUUGCAGUUUUUGCUCACACAAUCCAAACUUGAAAAUACUGAAUAAAACGCAUAGUAUUUUAAACACUGGAAUGUACUUGAGGAAACAUCAUUCUAUUCUAUUCUAUUCUAUUCUAUUCUAUUCUGUUCUAUUCUACAUGACUGUUUUAUGGAUUUUCUCGAGCUGGUAUCUUUUCAAAACACAAAGAAAAUAUUAUCCAUUCACUGUUUAAGUCUAACUUGUUGUUUGACAUGCAUGAUUUAUUAGCAGUAGUUUAAUUUAAACACCAGGAAUAUGAACAUAAUGUAAUGAGGAACAAUGGACAGAUUACAUCAGAAAGUCUAUAAGGGAAAUCAGUAACAAGCAGGAGCUAGAUUAAAACAUAGUAAAAUGGUGAUAUCAAACAGAGGAAGUCUGGUUGUAAUCCAUCAGCUGCCAGGCUAGUUUGUUCUGCCUUUUUAGCCAUUUGGGAUUUACUGUGAUUGAGGGAAGUCAAUUUCUGCAGAGAUGGUGCUGACAGCAGAAUGAGACUACCUUUCAUUUUCUCUGGGUUUAAAAAAAUACGAAAAUCUUGCUGAAGGACAUUAAAAAAUAGGCUGGAAUGUUUUAGUUGAGAUUUGUAUUAAAACCCUGCAAAGGUUAAAAUGGAUAUAUUUUUGACCAAAUAGAAUAAGUACUAAACGACACAAGGUAGUAGAAAAAAUACUCCAGUGUUAAAAAUAAUAUGUGUAGCAAUAAUUACUGGUUUAAUGUGAUCAUGUGUUCUAUGAUAAACAAUGACUAUUACAUAAUGGUUACCGUUAAUGUUUACUAAAAUCGUGAAUGAUUGUUUGCUUAAGAUAAUCCAUCAUUACAAGGUACUGGAUUUUGUUACUUGAAAAGAAUACAUUGGAUCAGAACUGGAUUACAAAAACUGUAAAACUAUCAAAUGAGUUAACUCCGUAGGGGUGGGAUUAUAUAAACUUGCUUCUUUCCACUCUUUUUCAAGCAAUAAAUCAAGCUCUACUUAACUUUAGUUAAUGAUCACUGUAUUUAAUUAAGCAAAUGUGAUUUAAGUGACUUUUUGUUUUGUUUUAUUUUCUGUCUUUUUAAUCUAUGCAUUUCAACAUUUCUGUAAUGAGUUUGAUAAAUAUGUGUAAAUUCUUUAUUGCUUUGACUACAAUGCUUGAAAUAAAUCAAUACAUCAAAUCAUGUGGUACACUUAAUUAAAUGUUUUCAAGGUAUA